CUUCAGGAAUCCGUUUCUGCUUUCUGAGCACAUUGAAACUGAUUAGUCGGGAACCCGGUUUGAAUCCGGGGCGGUACUGCCGCUGUCAGGGAAACAUUCUGUGUUACCCCGAGCCAGCACCCCGGCCUGAAGUAUGCCUGCCCG
rnacentral:ncRNA from 2 species